CAUUUUUGUAAUGAGAAUUUGGAGCAUAAACAUUCUAAAUUGUCCCUAAAAUUAUAACAAAAUCCAAAGAAGUGGGUCCUAAAUAGAUCUGUCUUGAAAAAGCCUUAAUUAUUUAAUAUUACAUCCCUCUUUUAAAUUUAUUUUGAGCUGAAAUAUGACCUGGACAUGUUGCUGACUGGUUUCAUGAGAUUCAUCAUCUAGUUCAAGAAGUUUUAUUUGUUUCUCAUCUCUAGACAUUGUCCCUAUAUUUUAAUUGUGAUGUAUUAUAAACUAGGUAGAAUUAAGUAAAAACAGCCCUUAAAUAAUAAAACUACAUGGUGUGGUCUGUUGAUAUGUGUGGUUUUGUGAGCGUAGUACAAAAAAAGUUGUUUCUAUAACAUUAGGCCGACCAUAUCCGGCAUUAUUAAAAACAUAUCGCGGUCACGCCGGUAAGUAUAUAGCUAAUAGUUCAUCGAUGUGUCCUCAGAAUAAAGAAAAUCAGUAAGAAACCCACCUCGUUUCCCCACCACGAGCCACGUUUAGCAUUAUCCCUGCAUGAAACUGUGACAUCUCUAUUUAGAUACCUGUAUCUGUAUAAUCUUAUUUAUUCGUUCAUUUAUGCGUCCCUCAGUAUGUGGGGUGCAAUGGGCCAGCAAGUGCAAUAUUUCGAAACCCUAUCUCUUGUAUAUAGUUGAAUGACUGUGUGUGUGUGUGUGUGUGUGUGUGUAGAGAGCGUCUCGAUGUGCCAUGCUGAUUUUGCACACUAUAUUAACCCACGUAUGGAUGAUCGCUCUGCCAAACCUUCUGUGUUAAACUAUCUUUGUGCUGACAUUAAGACAAAAUACUGUGGAGUUACAUCGGUGUGUGUGUGUGUAUAUACUAGUACGGAGAAAAGUAAAUGUGUAUCUUGUUGCAAGUCAUCUCGGUGGUUUUUCUUUGUGUGUUUGUGUGUAAAUCUCAUUCAUUUAGCGCAUGCAUAGGGCUUUAUAUCUGCAAUCACUCUACUGCACAGGAGUACUCAGUAGUUUUAUAAUAGCUGCCGCUUCAGGUGCACAGCAUGCAUAAAAAGAUUUAUAAAUACAAGCUUGAAAGGGAGUGAAAACAUCUAAACAUACAAAACAGUACAUCUACAACAUUUGGUUGGAUGUCAGAUGGUAAUGGUUUCUGUACGUCAAAAGAUACUAUGAUUUUACCAUGCUACAUGUCCAAAAAACAUGGUACUUUAUUGUUAGACAGUAAACCUCUGUUAGCAUUUAAAUAAUUUAUUUUCUUAAUUACACACCAGAUUUGCAUUCACCUCGUAGAGAAACCGUACAAUUUCCAAAGUCUCUUCAGAACACUAAAAUGUAUAUUUUAUUUUGUCUUUAUUGAACUGAGUCUGUAAGCUUCCGUCCCCAAAAUAUGGUGAUUUUAUUUGAAAUGUUGUGGUUUUAUUUGAAAAAUUUUAUUUUUGCUAAUCUAACUUUUGGUUUGUGUGGAAAAAAGUUGUUGGACCUAACUUGUGAUAUCUGCAGUGAUUUCUAAUAUUUUAGUUGAAGGAAUCACUCUAUAGCUGGUUACUCUGUAUGUGUGGAGUGUGUAUGACAAAAGUGUAUUACUGAAAAAUAAAUAAAUAAAUAAAUAUUCCUAUUG
ensembl:lncRNA